UUUGUAAAGAUAAACUAAAAUGAAAUUGUAAAAAAAAAAAAAAGCUAAAGUGUAAAAAGAACAUGUUUUAGGGUAAUGAGUGACAUGCAAUUUUCUAUAUGAUAGACUAAAGGUGUUUCCCUAACAAAAAAAAAAAGACUAAAGGUGUUCAUUCGGAUACUUGAGUCGGGUUUGAUCGAGUCGGGUUUCAUCUAUUUCAAAAUUAAGUCGGACUAAAUUAUUGUGUCCAUAUAAAUUGAAUUUUAAAUCGAAUUUUUUAAGUUAGAUCGAAUCGAGUCGAUAUUUUGACACCUCAAUACUCCGUAAUAUGAAAAUGAAUUAUUUAACGCAGCAAAAAGUUGAAAAAAAAAAAAAAAAAAAAAACAGAGAUCACACAAGUCACAAAACACAAAAACGUUCACACAAACUUUAUUGACUUGAGAAGCAAGGUACACAAAAAUGGUGGGCCCAAAGUAGAAACCCAUCAUAAUUAAAAAAAACCUAAAAAAAGAAACCCGUUUUAGAAACACCGUCAAGUACGGGCGGGUUAUUUACCGAUUACCAUCAUUAAGGUAACCUACAAACGUGUCAAAAUCCUAGUCGUCUGUUACUCCUUAUAAUAACCAACUUAAAUCUUUCUCUCUCCUCAAAAACACAUAGUUGUUAGAUUAGAUUAGCUGAAAAUAGGUAUAGCCUCAGGAAAUCAACAGCACAAAACCAAAACUAGACUUUUUUUUUUUUUUUCACUAUAAAGAGAUUCUCUCUCAUUUGCUUACAUUCACAAAUCUAGAGAGAGAAAGUUGUGAUUUUAUUAGAGAGAGAAAGAGCGGCGAAGAUAGAUUUGCGGCAGCCUCUGAUUCGCUUGGUGCAGGUCGGGAACUGGUUGAAAUUAAUGUUCCGCCGCCGUAGUAGCCGCCGCGUAAUCAGCGGCGUGAGUUUAAUUGUUUCUGCUUAGCCGGUGGUAUUCCGGAUCCCGCCUUGCAUCAACUGAAUCGGAGUCUGUGAGAUAUCACGAAACUAGAUCUCUAUCUUCAAUUUUUAUGUGGCUGGUGCUGGUUCUCAAAGGUCUAAAAUUAAGACAUGACGGUCAAGGAAGCCUAGUAGAUGCUGUUGGUUGCCUUCUUAAGUCAUCAUCGAUGUAACUUGUUCCACAUCUCAGAUGUUGAAAAUAGCAGCUCCUGGAUUCAACCAUGUUGUUGGCAGAAUAAAUGGCUAGAGAUGGCUAUCGAGUGAGAAACUCCAUAAGUUGUCCAAGAUUUGCUUAAGAUGAUGCUUUAAAGUUGAAAACGGAACACCUUUGAUCUGUUUCAUUCAGAUCAUGCAGUGUUCUGAGAAACCCAAAAGACAUCAUGGAAAGUUUCAAAAAAUUUGGACCAUGGAGCUGCACCAACUAAUGUUUCUAUCAUUACGUAUAUUGUGUGUGUCACCCAAAAGUUAACUCUAAACUUUGAUUGGAAAUUUACCUGAUAGCCCUGCAGUAUUUGAGCCUGUUUUUCUGAAAGAGGCCGAUGUCCAGUGAUGUGCGUCAUGAUUACAGAUGGAUCUAUCUAUUAUGUGGUGAAUGAAGGCCGGCAGGGGUGACCUGAGAACACAUGUGCACCACAGGAUAGCAACCUACCCAGAACCCUGAGCUAAACCACCCUUAAAUAGGUGAUCUGGUUUGGGAAGGUGCAUAUGCCUCAGCCAUGUGGUCUCAGGUCGCUCCUGUGGGACUUCACCACCUGUUAUAAUACAAACUAUUUUCAUAAUUUCAUGAUAUUGUGCUGAAUUGUUGGUAAUUGUUACUAAGAUUUCUGGAUGUUGUUUUUAUAGUGCAACCAGAAUAGUACACGAGUACUCCAGUGUUGUACUACAUGAAAUGUUGUGGUACUACUGUACUAGCUUUGGGAGUUGUACAAGUCACCUCAGAGUUUCAGUUUGUACUACUAGUCUACUACUGAUGAUGUGGUACUAACGAACUCUAGAGAGUUGUAUAAGAUCUUCUAAUUUGUACCA